rnacentral:misc_RNA from 1 species
UUAACGAUUUAUAUCUAAACUCAGACGACAUAAUUACAAUAGAAUUUGAGAAGGCUACUGGCGGGCACUGACCAAGGGCAUGAAAGUCCCCGGCGACCCCUAAAGGCGGGCCCACCAAAGCAACAUGGUAUAGUUAACAAAGGGUUGGAGGUCGGGCCUGGAAGACCCUAACUCGGUAAUGAUCCUUCCGCAGGUUCACCUACGGAAA